GUGAAUCAUCGAAUCUUUGAACGCAAAUUGCACUCCCGGGUAUUCCGGGGAGUAUGCCUGUUUGAGGGUCAGUGUAAAUAAAAAUCUCUGUGGUUGCUGCCUUGCGUGGUGACGCAUCGGAUUGGGUUCGUCUUUCCUUCGGUGAUGUUAUCUAAAAUUGUGCAUGAUUUUUUUCUAACG
rnacentral:misc_RNA from 1 species